rnacentral:rRNA from 1 species
AUUGAACGCUGGCGGAAUGCUUUACACAUGCAAGUCGAACGGUAGAGGGGGCAACCCCUCGAGAGUGGCGAACGGGUGAGUAAUAUAUCGGAACGUGCCCAGUCGUGGGGGAUAACGUAGCGAAAGUUACGCUAAUACCGCAUACGAUCUACGGAUGAAAGCGGGGGAUCGCAAGACCUCGCGCGAUUGGAGCGGCCGAUAUCAGAUUAGGUAGUUGGUGAGGUAAAGGCUCACCAAGCCAACGAUCUGUAGCUGGUCUGAGAGGACGACCAGCCACACUGGAACUGAGACACGGUCCAGACUCCUACGGGAGGCAGCAGUGGGGAAUUUUGGACAAUGGACGCAAGUCUGAUCCAGCCAUUCCGCGUGCAGGAUGACGGUCCUAUGGAUUGUAAACUGCUUUUGUACAGGAAGAAACACUCCCUCGUGAGGGAGCUUGACGGUACUGUAAGAAUAAGGAUCGGCUAACUCCGUG